rnacentral:misc_RNA from 1 species
GAUGAAGAACGCAGCGAAAUGCGAUAAGUAAUGUGAAUUGCAGAAUUCAGUGAAUCAUCGAAUCUUUGAACGCACAUUGCGCCCAUUAGUAUUCUAGUGGGCAUGCCUGUUCGAGCGUCAUUACGCCCCUCAAGUCCCCUGUGGACUUGGUGUUGGGGAUCGGCGAGGCUGGUUUUCCAGCACAGCCGUCCCUUAAAUUAAUUGGCGGUCUCGCCGUGGCCCUCCUCUGCGCAGUAGUAAAACACUCGCAACAGGAGCCCGGCGCGGUCCACUGCCGUAAAACCCCCCAACUUUUUAUAGUUGACCUCGAAUCAGGUAGGACUACCCGCUGAACUUAAGCAUACCAAUAAGCGGAGGA